GGCUCAGAUUGAACGCUGGCGGCAUGCCUUACACAUGCAAGUCGAACGGCAGCACGGACUUCGGUCUGGUGGCGAGUGGCGAACGGGUGAGUAAUGCAUCGGAACGUGCCAUUGAGUGGGGGAUAACGUAGCGAAAGUUGCGCUAAUACCGCAUAUUCUGUGAGCAGGAAAGCAGGGGACCGCAAGGCCUUGCGCUCUUUGAGCGGCCGAUGUCAGAUUAGCUAGUUGGUGAGGUAAAGGCUUACCAAGGCGACGAUCUGUAGCGGGUCUGAGAGGAUGAUCCACCACACUGGAACUGAGACACGGUCCAGACUCCUACGGGAGGCAGCAGUGGGGAAUUUUGGACAAUGGGGGCAACCCUGAUCCAGCCAUGCCGCGUGAGUGAAGAAGGCCUUCGGGUUGUAAAGCUCUUUCGGCCGGGAAGAAAUCGCAUGGGCCAAUACCCUGUGUGGAUGACGGUACCGGAAUAAGAAGCACCGGCUAACUACGUG
rnacentral:rRNA from 1 species